CAGGUGCAGAAGAAGCGAGCUCAGAUCUCACCCGAAGAGAUCACGGAGAAGAAUAUGACUGACAUUGGCGAGAAGCUUUGUAAUUUGGAGGAGGAGGAAGCUGUCUGGAUUCGCAAGAUUGAUAUUGUUGAGAAAGGGGAUAAGUUAAUGCUUGAAGAACAAAAUGUUGAAGGAUAUUGCAAU